UUCCUUUUUUAAUAUAAAAUUUAUGUUAAUCUUUAGCUAACUUAUUAUUUCAAAAACAAAAACUUAACUAACCUAUUUCUUGAUUUUUAAAUUUAAUUUUUUUAUUUUUAAAUUUAAUUUUUAUUUUUUAAAAUUAAUUUUAUUUUACAACCAUAUUUUAAAAUUAAAACUAGUUGGGGUUAUUAAUUUUCUCCCGUUAAUAUAACAAUUUUUUUAAAUCUAGUACAGAGGUGUC
rnacentral:lncRNA from 1 species